GGAAACCAUUUUCACAGCAUGGCGCCGAGAACAAACAUCGUCAACAUCGAGCUAUUCAUUAUAUAAACUUGACAGGAGGUUGUAUGUGGUGUAAAUACAUUAUGGGAAUAUUGACUGUUCACAUAUUUACUGAGCUUGAAUUUUGGCUAGUUACGUCGUACCUUUCAAUCAUUUGACAGUACGCUUGAGUUUACAAAUGACUGGAAAUUUAUGUGAGUAUAUAUGCGAUUGAAAUACAUUUGGAAUAUAACUUGUAGCUGCAUUUUAAAAUUGAUCUAAUUGUAAACUCUGUAUGUCUCAAUCCUUUGGAUUCCGAAAACAGUUGUUUGUGUAUGUAUCUCUGUUUAAUUGCCCUUCGUGAGUAGGAAAUUGGAUACUGGUAAAUUACAGUAAAUCCUCUCAUCCAAAUAUUAUUCAUAUUUAUUAUGCUUUAAUUACAAGUGUUUAAAGAGGAAUUAAGGCAUUUACGGGGAAUUAUCCUUUCUUAAGUCUGCUAAUUUUAUUGAUAAAGACAAUUUAGCUCAAAGAAUCGCCUUGUGGACUGGCAAAACCUUUCUCUAAAUGCUUGAAGAUUUGUGUGUAUGUGGAAACGUUUGUGAUGAUAGGCAAAGAGGUAAUUACCGUAUAAAUGUUAUGUUAUCCAUUAUGAUAAAUUCAAUCCAGUGUUAACAUGAUGUUGCUGAAGAUUCUUAAGCUCCACACCCACAACUCAAAUUAAGUUGUACUCAAUGUCGAGGUUGUGUCAUGCCGAUGGUAAAUUACCAAAUGUUGUUUCAGGAUUGUUACAUUGAACUGGGGGAGAGGGGUGACCAAGUCUGUUUUCCCAAUGUACAUUAAUAUUGUCAGGAAUGAUCGCCAGUAUUGUAUCCAACAUUGUAGUUUGCAUGAGAUCCCAGCAGAAGCUCAUGAUAUCGCCAUGAAACCAACUUCAUGUAUUAUUUGUAUGUACUGUACUGUAUUUAAUGAUUGUUGAGGGUUUGUGUAUGGUAAUAUGGGAAACAAUACUAGUAAAUAUGGUAUUUUUUGUUUCCUGUUCAUGAGCAUAAUGUGUUUUUAUUUUAUUUCUGAUGUUUUGUUGUCAUUAAUUAUCAUUACCGGUAAUUACCCAUUGAUCUCCAGUUCCCCUUGACAAGUGAAAUCGUCUGGUGUUAGACAGAGUAAAUAACAAAGUAGGAUGCAUCUAGGGUGCAAUGUAACUUAAUGGGUUAACUAGACACAUCACAUGUGGGCAGAUGUCUGAUGAUUAACCCAUUGAGUGCUAGCACUCUCCCCUUGAUUAAUUAAAUUGUCUGGCAUUACACAGAGUGCAUUAGGGCAUAAUGCAACUUUGAGUGGCAGCACUCUCCCCCUGACAAGUAAAAUCAUCUGGUGUUAGACAGAGUAAAAUAAUAAACUAGGGCACGUUGCCACUUAAAAGGUUAACAAUUGGUUAAUUACUUGAAAAAAAGCAAUACUACAUAUUUUGGGCUAAUGGAUGUAUAGAAACGUUAAUUAAACAGGCUUUUGGGUUGUUACCCUUGAACUAUAAUUUUUAACAUCUUUGUUUUAUAUUUACAAUAUGUGAGGUGUUGUUAAUUACUAGUGAAAUAAUGAAGGGAAAUAAUAAAGUUGGGUGCAUUUGGAUGUAUUGCAGCUUAAUUAAUAAAUAAGUUAAUAAGACACAUUUGGCCGAGCUAGCAGAUAGUUUGGUUAGGUGGACUUCAUGACUUUGACUCUUGCACCUCACUUGGUGGAAUCAACGUUGAUUCCACCAAGUGAGGUGCAAGAGUCUAAGUCAUGAAGUCCACCUAAACCUGCACACCCGAUUACCUAUACAUACAUGAACUUACGGUUACAGCUUAACAGCUGGCCUCUGUAGCUCAGUUGGUUCGAGUGCUGCACCGGAAUCGCAGGGCCGUAGGUUCAAUUCCUACCAGAGGACCUUGUGCUGCAUUUUUCGCAGUCGUUCCUGGUUAGGUCUUACAAUGUAUAUAUUCUCACUUGGAUUCCAAACCCUAACAUUCUGAUAGUUUGGUUAACCAUUAAUGUGCAAGAUUCUCCCCUUGAGAAGUAAACAACAUUCAACAGAGUAAAAUAAUAAAGUUGGGUACAUUUAGCUGUAUUGUAGCUUAAUGGGUUAGUAUGCAAAAUAUGAGUGUUAGCCUGUAUAAAAUGCAAAUCAUUUUUACAAUGAUCAAAAGGAACUACGGAAGCACUAGCCUCAAUAUAUAUUAAUUCUUAAAGGCAAACAUCUGUUCAUGAGUAGCUUAGCCUGCGAAAAGGCUCUCAAGCUGAAUUUAGAGCCUGCAUCGAUGACUAAUGAAUUUGAAUAUCUGCCCCGUAACGUUCGUUUUUCCAAAUAUGGAAUGUCUAUCCUUAUAUGGUGUUGUUUACAACUUUCGUGCACACUAAAUUUAGACUGUGCAAACUAAAUUUAGACCGUACAGUUUAUACUGUUUUUCGAAAUAUUAGAUAUUGGCAAGGAAAAGUUUAAAUGUUUUAAGUUAAAUACUGUUUUCUCAAAACAGAACAUUUCGUGCUUUGAGAUAAGAUGGCCAAGACCAAUUUGAUCAGUUGCUUCAGCAGUUGACAUAUAUCGAGCUCAGCGGAAACAUAUAAAUUAUAGCAUCUGACCAAUGAGAAUUUCGCGUCACGAUUUGAGAUGCAGAUAUUAAUUUCAUUAGUCAUCGAUGCAGGCUCUCAAUUCAGCUUGAGAGCCUGUUCGCAGGCUAUGAGUAGCUAGGAUAUCCAAUCAUAUAACUUCGGGGGGACAUGAAAAUAAUUAUUGUAGAAUAAUUUUUGUACUCUAUACACAUGGCACUCACUUUGCUUAUUUAAAAUUUAACUUCAGUUGCCUAAUUACGUACAUUUAAUUGCCAUGCAGACUUUAGAAAUGCCCAUAUUGUGUUAUAUUGUAUAUGCCUUUAUGCAUUGUAGGGAUUGUAAUGUUGUAGUUGAACACUUCUAUUAAUAACCUAUUCUGUGUACAUGCAUGCACAUGCAAACUAUAACUAUUGGCACCAAUUACUCUUAGUCUCAGACCUCGCACGCGGUCCACCUGCGCGCCAAGGCAACAGAACAACCAUGAGCUUAUCAACUACAGUAUAUUACAGGGAUCAAUACAAUUAGGUGAAAAUUAUGUGCAGUUAAACUGUGAAAAUAGUUUUUAUGAAGUCCCUUACCCCUUUUGCCAUGAUCUGGGAUUAUCCACAGGCAAACAUGCAGAAAAUAGCUUUAUGUAGAAUUAACCCUUUAUAGCCAGCAAGCUUGGACAAAAAAAUCAUUACAUUUAAAUUUUGUAUGUUAAUUGUUGCAAUUAAGAAAUAUGUCCAGUAUGGGCAAAUAGUCUGGUUAGCUAUAUUAAUAGAGAGGUUCAGAUUUGACUUCCACUACCGCUAUACCAUUAAGGAACCAUUAACCAAUCAGAUGCACUUGAUAUAUCCAAUUAACUAAUCAGAUGCGUUCUAAGCUAGUGAGAGGUAGUGGUAGCAGUGCCGGUAGUGGAAGUCAAAUCUGAACCUCGCUAUUUCCAGAACUUUUCCUGUAUGUAAAAUUUCCCUGGUAAGAAAAUGUAAAAUAAAACAGUGGUACAAAUUGAGUGUUCAUGAACAGAGAUCAGUUUUGAACAGAGAUCAGUUUUGAACAGUAUACCUGUAGUUAAUUGACUGGUACCUGUAAAGUUGUCUGGCAUUAAUCAGUCGAGAGUAAAAUAAUGAAGCAGAGUGCAUGAUCAGGGCGCUUUGUCAGAGGCAUUCUUAGACAGCCUUGAACUCGAUCAGGUUGAGCUGUGUCCUUUGCAAUAGACCUUUCCCCUUAUGAGUGAAAUUUUGAUCUAGAUAUGCCUGGACAAAAAUUUCAUCACAGCUUGAAAGAGCAUCACAAAUUACACAAAAAUUAAAUUAGUAAUAUUCCGAAGUUUCGUUGUGAAAUGUUGUAAAAUGCAGAUAAUAUAGCCUUGCGAAGUUUGCCGUUUUUCAGUCAUUUUGCAUUACAAACGGGAAAUUGAUAAUCAGAUGAUCAAACUGAUUAUCAAUUUCCCAUUUUUAAUACAAAAUGACUGAAAAACGGCAAACUUCGCAAGGCUAUAUUAUCCGCAGUUUACAACAUUUUGCAACGAAACUUUGGAAUAUUACUAAUUUUGUGAUGCUCUUGCAAGCUGUGAUGAAAUUUUUGUCCAGACUUGUCUAGAUCAAAAUUUCACUCAAAAGGGGAAAGAUCUAUUCAGCUUACACUGUAGCUCUCAGCUGCAAGUAGGGAUGAUUAGCAUACCCCCACUGUCUUACUUGCUUAAUUUACUUACUUACAGUAGAGCCUGCAGUUUUUUCAGAGCCAGCAGUUUUUUGCCUGAUCAUUUAGUAAGACCAUCAAAACAAUAUACAUGCAACCAUUCUUUUUGUAACUAGUUACACAGUAUGUCAAACAUAUGAAAAUAUGCGAAGCAAAAGCAAGAGUUAGACUAUGAUGUAUGGAUUGAGUUAUGUCAAUUGUUAACACGAAGUGAAUUACAAUUAUCUUAACCAGAAAAUAAUCUUCAAAAUUGCGAUCAGUCAUCUCGCACUGUAGCGGCAUAUGAAAAAUAAUGAAAAAUUGUGCGCAAAAUUGAGCGACAACUACAGUAUAUCAGCUGCAUGUGUGUGGUCGCAACUUGGGAUAAAACCUCUUUUCCAUCAGUUGGAUAUCGCAGAUAUAAAAUAAUGACAGUGCUAUCGAUGCCAGAAUGUAACUACUGACUGUAUAGUUAUCAUUGAUUUUUGUACAUUUUACGCCUAGCCACAGUCGGGCCCUAAAAUAUCUUUUGCAGGGCCAUCUGACAAAAUGUCCAAUUACUUUGAAUUUGGGUUGGACAAAUGUUUUAUGAUGUCUGAUGACCCUCAGUUCAGUUUGGCUCGGAAAUAAGCAUGAAUGACACAAAUUAAUACCAGCACAAUGUAUUGUAUUAUGUUGUGAAGAUAUUAAAUCAUUUGUGUCAUUCAUACUUUUUUCCAAGGUAAAAUUAACUUGCCUGCCAAGAACAACAGCUGCACGGUAAGACUUUUAUGCCCGGUUUUUUACUUCACCAUUUCGCUCGCUACCCUGCACUCGAUUAGAUUAAAACAUCAUUUCCUGUUCACUUUUUAUAUCCAAUACUGUAUGAAUCUCCAUUUAACAUACGAGCCUCUAGUCUCUGACUAGGGUACAUUUUGAUUUACGUUGGACAAAGUUACACCAAUUCACGGAGUCGGACAAACAAUAAACGUUAGUUUCACUUAAGUCGGACAAGAUGUCCAAUGGCUUCCUCUCUAUAUGUCGGACGAUUUCACGAAUGGGUUGGACAGUGUCCGUGACCGACCGAUAUUUUAAGGCCUUACCACAGUUAGAAGUUACCUUCCCAAAAAAGUACCAAGCUACAGUAUACCUCAAGAGUUACUCAAAAAGUAACGAUUACGCGUGUAACUAUAGUUACUUGCAUAUAACGAUUACGCGUGUAACUAGUUACUUUAAAAAGUAGAGUCAAAACAACUCUACUUAAGGAAUAUAAAUUGCUCAAAAAAAUGGAGUAAAAAAGGAGUAAAAUUUACUCCAAAAAAAAUAGUCGUUCUGUACCUUUUUUAUUUACUCCACUUUUGGAGUCAAUUGCUAUUUCUAGGCAAAAGAAAGUGCAGACCUUUUCAGUGGCAUGAUCACUGUUACGUACUUGUUUUGUUCCAGAAAGAGGAUUUACCUCAUAGCCAUUUCAGUUAAUGAACAGAUGGCUGUUUUUCAGUGGAAUUUUUCCCCAAGUGAAGUUUCGCUCCACAUCGUACCACUUUGUUACUGUAGAUUUUAGGAUCUUGUGGAACCAGGAGGGCAAUUAUAUCUGUCACUCUCUUAAUUGCAUCCUACAAAAUUUGAGGCCGCAAAUCCAGGCCAUUGUUUUCUCCAUCGUAGGUAUAGGCAUAUUUUUUGGGAACCUUCAAUUUUAUAAUGUGCAUAUACGUACAUGCUAUGAAAUAACUUAACCCCGCGUCCGGCCUCAUCCUGUACCAUUUCCCCUUGUCUCUUGUAUAGGCAAUGCAAAGAGAAAUAAUUUUGUGGCCCAAUAUCAUCUAAAUAUUACAAUUGAAUGGAGAGUCUACCUUUAAUAAGUAAACUCGUUUAUAACAUGCAUCUCAUAAUUUAAUGCAGUAAAGUAUUUCCUCGAAAAUAUCAGUAUGGCCCCAGGGCUGGGGGUCAUUUUUCUGUGGAAUUUUGCAUGAGAGCAAUCUUUACAUCUUGGGGGAAAUAUUUUAUCUGCCACGUUUGUCUUAAUUGUACAGUAUUAAAUCUAAUUGUUUUCAUUUUUGAGUGUUUCUUGACCUCUGCCUUGUUGCAGGCCUCUGCCUCGAAACGUUGGGUCCUCAUUACAAUUUGACUGGGCUUUGUAAUCAUUUAUUUAAACCAGAGUAGCGAGCGAAACAUGAUUGAUAUACCUGGUUGCAGUGAACGAACAAACUUUAAAUCUCUACCUUGUCGUUGUAGAGAACUGUGUAUGCAUGGUUAAGGUUUUGCAUCGGUGUGCCAUUCCUGCUGUGGUCCACAAAACUAAAUUGUCAAUUUGUGAAACUUGAUAAAAAUUCGUUGAUAGCAAGAUUCGUUUUUGGUUAGUCUUUUCAGAUAUCCUGCUGUGCUUAGAUGACCUGAAACACAGAGCACCGCACGAGACUGACGGGAACAUUAAUUUUCUGAAGAAUUUUUUGGAGGCACCCCAAGUCUCAUCUCUAUUAGAG
rnacentral:lncRNA from 1 species